CCUCAGCGCAUCGCGAGCCGCCGGGGGUUCAUAAGGACCGGUCCCUGAGGAGCUCGGGAUUUGGGCUUCUGUGUGCGGCUGUGUGCGGCUGUGUGCGGCUGUGUGGUCUUUCUUAGCUUCUUUUGGUGAGGUUGAGAGGAAGAUGGAAGUGUGCUUGGACAGAACUCUUCAUGGAGAAGGAGAGCAGAGCUUUCUGAAGGACGGGUGACCUGGAAUAAGUUAGGGUUCGCGGGCCGUGCCCCGCUGUCCCCGGCAAUGAAGCUCGGAGCACCAGGCCG